GCAUAUGAUGUCUUGCAUUGCAUAGUUUAGACAUCAUAUACACAAUAUUCAACACCAUGUUCUUAGUUCAGACAUCAUAUUGAAUGCCCUCUGUUUAGCAUAUAAAUCACAUAUGUGAAUUAAAUGAUGCGAUCAUUAGUACUUAGAUAACAUUUAGGUGAAUUAUGUCAUGCGAUCCUAUUUAGUUAUUCAUCAUAUCUUCGAAUUAUGUUAUGCUAUGCUACCCAGUUUAGAUAGACAUCAUAUAUGUGAAAUUAUGUCAUGCUAUCCGUUUUAGUUAAACAAUAUACAUGUCAACUAUUUCAUGCCCUCUUUUUUCCACACUAUCUAUUGCAUCUGUCUCUCAUACAAUGUCUGUACAUUCAACUAUGUUUCCUGUUUAACAACAAUUUGAAUUGGAGCGGGUGAUGCCAGUAUCUAGCGGACUAAAAACACGGUCUUCAAAUAAAAUAGUGCUACCUCUUGGUGGAGAUAGCACCCCGGUUGUACAUGCACCAGAACCAGCCCUACCACACAUAACCCAAACUCUCGCAGAUUGUACCCCUACUGCGAUGGACAGAGAACCAGCUUCACCCAAUCUAGCCCCAACCCCAAACGAUAGUAACCCAGUUCCUGUUGACACAACACCAUCUCCACCACAUAGCUCCCAAACAAGAGCAGUUAGUAAGGCAGCUCUAGUGCCCAAAGGGCUAGUACUAUCAUGGCGAACACCAACUCCACCAGUUAGUACACCUAUUCCUGUGGAGGAAGCACAACCAGCUAGUCGUAGUUUAGCAUCUAUCGCAUUUGAUAUUGUUAAAUCGUAUGUGCAUAUCUUCCCAUCUUGGAAAUAUUAUACUGAAGAUGAAGGAAAAUGCCAGUUGCAGGUGUUUGUCCAGGAGUUAUGUGUAAGUAAUGUUAUUCAUGGCAAUUACUUUGCUUUGUCCCAUACAUCCUACCUCCAUGAUGGUUACAAUACAACAAAUUUUCCCAAUUUUCUCUAUAGAGAAGGACCGAUUUGGAAACUCAGGAUGAGGUAACCUGUGCUAAUACCUCUGCUAUCUUCAAGAAUAUUUGGUGGCAGUAUCGGAAUUACCUGAAGAAAAUGUACUUCACCGGCAAAGAAACUCAUCAAAUUCCCUUACGUUCUCCUGAGACACGUUUACUGGAUGAUGACUGGGAACGCCUUAUUCUGUACUGGUCCCGACCCAAGAAUGUGGUAAGGUUUAUGAGCUCAUUUUCUAUUUUUAAGUAUUAUAUUCUUGCGUCUUACUGUACUCUGUUCAUGUAGAACAAGUGACUAAACCUGAAGAACAACUACUCUAAUUUAAGAUUCCAUAGCUAUCAUAGUUCAAAAACGCUCUAGGCGUCAAUUGUGCGUUUUGCCACCGCCUUGCGCUUUGCUGACCAAAGUGCAUGCUUAUGCACAGUUAUGCACAGAUUAAGCGUAGUUAUGCGCAAUGCGUUUUGCCAACGCCUAGAGCCUAGGCGCGCUUAAGCGCUCGCUUAGGCGCGCCUUUUUUAACUAUGAUUGCUUUGCUCUUGUAUCACUGUAUUUACUCAUACAAACUUAUUUUUAAAUUGUAGGAUCCAAUCGAAACUCCAAUGGCACAGCAGGUAUGUUCACGCAUGUUUCUUUAACAGGUUUGCUCUUAUCAAUAGCUCUGUUGAUUUCAAUUUCAAUUGUGUAUAUAGUUGACUUUCAUAUCAUGCACAUUACUAGCAUCACAACAGAGCCAAUAGUGUUGUUGUACAUGUAGACCCGUGGUACCCAUCCGAAAUCUUGUUGUGCCGUGUAGUUUCCCACGCUUUGCAUUCUUUCACUGCUGCUUUGUCUUGAACUGAUAUGAUUUUAACCGUGUCUCUAUUUUGAUUUGGCAAGAGAAUGCAGUGACCAUAGGACAUAUAUAUAUGUUUGUUUGAUGCUUUUAUUAUGUACUAGUACUUGGCAAUAGAAGACUUGGUAGUUUAAUCCUGUCCACCUUACUAAUGAACUGGUUCACCGAAAUGAGUUUCAUAUACUAGUACACGCUAAACUUGUGAUGUGUCUGCUUGUUUAUUCUUUUAGAAUGCUGACGGAAUAUUGGAGAAGAGUGCCUUAUUAAGCAAUGGUAAAGGAAGUAAUGCAGAUAAGGUUCGGGAUAGUGACACAUCCUUGUUGGUCUCCAACAAAGCUGAUAAAAUAGCUAAGGAAUACUAUCUUGAAGACAACGAGACAACCCCAAAGUCGUGUAUUGGUUUAGUGUUCGAGUUACUAGCCACUACCGCUUGCACAAGCUAUUCAAACUCGCUGUCUGAAUCAGUUCGGUUUCUUGAGUCUCAACUACAAGCUGAAAGACAUCGAUCAGCUAUGCUGCGACAAGAAGCGGAAGGACUGCGGAAGUCCCUGGAUCAUUCAGAUGCAUACUUUCUGGUGCAAUAACAAGCGUUGGAGGAUUUUAGCGCCAAAUAGGACAAAGCUAAUAAGCUUGCUAAGCUUAUUGCCAGCAUGGUGGAUACCCAGGAUAACGUUUCUUGAGCUCUUCUGAAGUUGUUUUAGUUAUGCUCUUGUUUUGCUGCCACGUUUAUUUGCACUGGUGGCCAAUUUUGACGGCUAGUGUAUGUAAUAUGCUGCUUUGUUCGCUAUAUUUGCACUGGUGAGAACUUUGAUGCCCAGUGGAUGUAAUAUGUGUAAUAGCGGUAAUAGGCUAGCGUUAGUUGCUUGCUUAUUUAUUUCCUUAUUGUCUUGUUUAGUUGUUUGCUUGUAGUCACUGCUGUUCUUUUUCUGUGAUUUUCUAGUGGACACAAUAGCCUAUUUUUGGUAACUAGGCCUAAAUAAUCAUGGCAACACACGGACUGUUGUAAACAUGGGCCUCCUGCAGGCCGUAUGAUCCAUGAGCCUUCUUCGGGCCAUAGGAUCGGCCUUCUAUAUGGGCUGAAGGAUCCAUCAGCCUUCUAUACGGGCCUUAGGAUCCAUGGGCCUUCUACGGGCCAUAGGGUCCAUGGGCCUUCUACGGGCCGUAUGAUCCAUGGGCCUUCUACGGGCUGUACGAUCCAUGGGCCUCAUACGGGCCAUAGUAUCCAUGGGCCUUCUACAGGGCGUAUCAUCAUUUCGCCAAUAUGGGCCGUACUAUUCGUGGACCACAACGGGCCGUUAAUAGGACGUAUUGUAUAACUCUAUGAAAACAGCCCAACGGGUUUUUUUGGACAUGAAAACGACCCAACGUAUUAACGGUCCACAAACGGGCCGACUGUAAUGACGGGCUGAAUUUGGCCCACAAGCAGAAAAUGACAGUAACAGGCUGUAUGUAACCGAAUGCUGCAAAUGAGCCCAAGAAUCAUUGGGCCCUCAGAAGGCCGAAAGAUAACUUGGUCUAGAAAUGGCCCAAUGGAAUAACGGGCCGUUAAUGCGUAUAAAGUGAUACACUAUUCAUGACAGGCCAGUUUCACCACGAGCCGUUAAUGGGCCAAGAGUUACAAAGGGCCUCAUAUGGGCCGAAAUAAGUCAUGGGCCACAGAUGGGCCGGAAGUUAAAACGGGCUAGAACCAUAUUGGAUGACCCAGACGAUGCUACUGGGCCUAAUUCAGAGAGGUAAUAACGGGCCCUGGGUUAGCGGGCUCUAAAUGGGCUAUAUGCGAACGUGCCAUUAACAGGCUUUCCAUGGGCCAGCUCGACACCUUUUGACCAAGUCAAAUGGGCCGGCCUUUUGACAGGAAUGGUCCUAUGUUGGGCCGUGCCACGUGUCGCCGUAUCAUAGGCGCGUUCGGUCCACUGAGUGGAUGACAUCUGUCCCAACGGUGAGCCGACACGUGUUUCCUCCAGCCAAUGAUGAUUUUACAUGUGGAAAAUCCCCAUUGGUCGGGCCUGUUAAUGGGUUGUCGGAUCCAAAACCGGACUAGAUAGCUUAACGGUGUUCCAUUAUGGUGGAUGCCACGUGUAGGUCACCCUUGAUGAAAGUACUUCUGUGACGCGCGAUUUAUCGUCAUGGAAGUGGACACUUCCGUGAUGAUAAUUUUGGUAAUCUCAUGGAACACUUCUACGAUAGCGCAAGUGUGACUAUAUUGAUUCUGUCUUAAAAUCGUCAUGGAUGUACAUGCAUGACAAAAAGCGCGACCUACUGUGACAAACACGUAUCAUCACGGAAGUAUAUUUUUUCGUAGUACCAUCUACUACCUUUUGGAGAGUGGUGUGUCCUAGAUUGGUUAGGUGUCACUUGGGAGCCUCCAUCAAGAUUGUGGAGUUGAACCAAGGAGUUUGUAAGGGCAAGGAGAUCGCCUACUUUGUGAAGAUCUACCCUACUGAGGCAAGUCCUUCGUGGGCGAUGGCCAUGAUGGGAUAGGCAAGGUUGCUUCUUCGUGGACCCUACGUGGGUGGAGCCCUCGUGGACUCGUGCAGCCGUUACCCUCCGUGGGUUGAAGUCUUCAUCACCGUGGAUGUGCGAUAGCACCACCUAUCGUAACCAUGCCAAAAAUGUAUGUGUCAACAUUGCGUUUGCUCCCUCCAAACUCCCCCCAUUUACUUUCUUGCAAGUUGCAUGCUUUACUUUCUGCUGCUCAUACAUUCUUUGCAUGCUUUCUUGAAUUGUAUUGUGAUUGCUUGACUUGUGCUAAGUUGCUAAAAUCUGCCAAGAACUAAAAUUGGGAAAAUGUUAAGUUUUAUUUGGUCAAGUAGUCUAAUCCCCCCUAUAGACAUACUUUCGACGCUACAAGUGGUAUUAGAGCUUUGGUCUCCAUUUGCUUUGAUUUCCAUAGCUUUGGUGAUCAUAGCCUUGGUUUCACAACCUAGGAGAGUAUGACAUCUAGCGAGGGAAUUUGCCACCGUAGAGGUCCUUACUUUGAUGGUACUAAUUUUGCUAGUUGGAAACAUAAGAUGAAACUGCAUAUUCUUGGACAUAACCCCGCUGUUUGGGGUAUUGUGUGUAUUGGCUUGCAAGAUGAAUUCUUCGAUGGGAGAGAACCAAACCGUGAAGCUACAGCGGAAGAAUUGAAGAUGUUGCAAUACAAUGCUCAAGCUUGAGAUAUUCUAUUCAAUGGAUUGUGCCCAGAAGAAUUCAACAAAAUCAACCGUCUUGAGAAUGCAAAGGAAAUUUGGGAUAAUUUGAUUGAUAUGCAUGAAGGUACCGACUCCGUCAAGGAAUCCAAGUUGGAUGUGCUUCAAAGUCAACUUGACAAGUUCAAAAUGAAGGAUGGUGAAGGUGUUGCCGAAAUGUACCCCAGGCUUGCUCUCAUGACAAAUGAGAUAGCCGGCUUAGGAAGUGAAGAGAUGACCGACAAAUUCAUCAUCAAGAACAUCUUGAGUGCCUUGUAUGGAAAAUAUGACACCGUGUGCACAUUGAUCCAAAUGAUCCAAAUUACAAAGAUCUCAAGCCAACCGAAGUCAUUGGCAGAAUAGUUGCUCAUGAGAUGUCACUCAAGGAUAAAGAAGAGCUUCACAAAAAGUCUAGCGGUGCUUACAAAGCCUCAUGUGAUGCUCCUACAUCAUCAAGUGAGAAACAAGCCUUCAAUGAAGAAUUGAGCUUAAUGGUGAAGAACUUCAACAAAUUCUACAAGAGUAGAAGCAAGGAAAGAAGUUCCAAGUCAAGGUCCUACAAUGACAAAAGAUCUUCUAGUCGUGAGAGGAACUGCUACAAUUGUGGAAGUCCCGGACACUACUCCAAUGAGUGUACGGCUCCCUAUAAAAGAAGAGAAGACUCACCUAAAACAAGAAGCAAAAGGGAAGAAUCACCUCCAAGAGAGAGGAGUAGAGACGAUCGUUAGGAACGAAGAACCUCUUGAAGAAGCAAGGAUUCAGAAAGGAAGGACAAGUCAUCAAUGAGCUACACAAAAUGAAGACAUCAAACUCAUGUUGGUGAAUGGGUAUCCGGCUCCGACUCCGACCAGUACUCCGAGAGAAGUUAUCACUCCGACUCCGAAUAUACUCAAGAUGAAGGUGUUGAUGGUCUAGCACUUGUGUCAACCAACUCCUACGACAUAUUUGACUCACCAAAUGAAGGAAUUGGGAGAUGCUUGAUGGCUAAAGGCCCCAAGGUAACACACCCCGACACUACAAAAAAUACACUUCCGUGAUGAUACAUGUUUGUCACAGUAGGUCACAUUUUCUGUCAUGCAUGUACAUCCAUGCCGAUUUUAUGACAGAAUCAAGAUAGUCAUACCUGUGUUGUCAUAGAAGUGUUCCAUGACAUUACCAAAAUUAUCAUCAUGGAAGUGUCCACUUCCAUGACAAUAAAUUGCGCGUCAUAGAAGUGCUUUCGUCAAGGGUGACCGACACGUGGUGUCCACCGUAACGGAACGUCAUUAAGCUAUCGGGUCCAGUUUUGGAUCUGAUAACCCGUUAACAGCCCCGACCAAUGGGGAUUUUCCACGUGUAAAAUCAUCAUUGGCUGGAGGAAACACGUGUCGGCUCACCGUUGGGACAGAUGUCGUCCACUCAUUGGGCCCAUGGAGCCUAUGAUACGUCAACACGUGGCACGGCCCAACAGAGGCCCAUUCCUGUGAAAAGGCCGGCCCGUUUGACUUGGUUAAAAGGUGGCGGGCCAGCCCAAGGAAAGCCUGUUAAUGGUCUGUUCGCAUAUAGCCCAUUUACAGCCCGCUAACCUAGGGCCCGUUACGACCUCACCAAAUUAGGCCCAGUAGCGUCAUCUGGGACGUCCAAUAUGAUUCCAGCCCAUUUUAACUUCCUGCCCAUGUAUGGCCCAUGACGACUUUCAGCCCAUAUGACGCCCUUUGUAACUCUUGGCCCAUUAACGGUCCGUGGUGAAACUGGCCCGUAAUGAACAGUGUAUCACUUUAUACCCAUUAAUGGCCCAUUAUUCCAUUGGGCUGUUUCCAGCCCAAGUUAUCUUUCGGCCUUCUCAGAGCCCAUUUAUUCUUCGGCUCAUUUCUAGCAUUUGGUUACUUACGACCCGUUACUGUCAUUUUCUUCUUGUGGGCCAAAUUCAGCCCGUUAUUACAGUCGGCCCGUUUGUGGCCCGUUAAUACGUUGGGCCGUUUUCAUGUCCAAAAAACUCGUUGGGCUGUUUUCAUAGAGUUAUCAAAUAUGGCCUAUUAACGACACGUUAUGGUCCAUGAAUAGUACGGCUCAUGAUUGGUGAAAUGAUAAUAUGCCCCGUAGAAGGCCCAUAAAAGGCCCAUGGAUCAUACGACCCGUAGAAGGCCCAUGGAUCGUAUGGCCCGUAGAAGGCCAAUGGAUCCUACAGCCCGUAGAAGGCCAAUGGCUCAUACGGCCCGUAGAAGGUCCAUGGCUCGUACGACCCGUAGAAGGCCCAUGGAUCGUACGGCCCGUGGACGGCCCAUGGAUCGUACGACCCGUAUGGAAGGCCAAUGGAUCCUACGGCCCACAGGAGGCCCAUGGUUACAACAGCCCGUGUGUUGCCAUGAUUAUUUUGGCCUAGAUUCCAAAAAUAGGUUAUUGUGGCCACUAGAAAAACACAGAAAAAGAACUAUAGUGACUACAAGCAAACAACUAAACAAGACAAUAAGGAAAUAAAUAAGCAAGCAAUUAAUGCAAGCCUAUUACCGCUAUUACACAUAUUACAUCCACUGGGCAUCAAAGUUCGCCACCAGUGCAAACAUAGCGAACAAAGCAGCAUAUUACAUAAACUGGCCAUCAAAGUUGGCCACCAGUGCAAAUAAACGUGGUAGCAAAACAAGAGCAUAACUGAAACAACUUCAGAAGAGCUCAAGAAACGUUAUCCUGGGUAUCCACCAUGCUGGUAAUAAGUUUAGCAAGCUUAUUAGCUUUGUCCUGUUUGGCGCUAAAAUCCUCCAACGCUUAUUGUUGCACCAGAAAGUAUGCAUCUGAAUGCUCCAGGGACUUCCGUAGUCCUUCCGCUCCUUGUCGCAGCACAGCUGAUCGAUGUCUUUCAGCUUGUAGUUGAGACUCAAGAAACUGAACUAAUUCAAACAAUGAGUUUGAAUAGCUUGUGCAAGCAGUAGUGGUCAGUAACUCGAACACUAAACCAAGACAUGACUUUGGGGUUGUCUCACUGUCUUGAAGAUAGUCUUCCUUAGCUGUUUUAUUAGCUUUGUUGGAGACCAACAAGGAUGUCUCACUAUCCUAAACCUUAUCUGCAUUACUUCCUUUACCAUUGCUUAAUAAGGCACUCUUCCCCAAUAUUCUGUUAGCAUUCUAAAAGAAGAAACAAGCAAACACAUAACAUGUUUAGCAUGUACUAGUAUAUGAAACUCAUUUCGGUGAACCAGUUCAUUAGUAAGGUGGACAGGAUUAAACUACUAAGUCUUCUAUUGCCAAGUACUAGUACAUAAUAAGAGCAUCAAACAAACAUAUAUCCAUGUCCUAUGGUCACUUCAUUGUCUUGCCAAAUCAAAAUAGAGACACGGUUCAAAUCAUAUCAGUUCAAGACAAAGCAGCAGUGAAAGAAUACAAAGCGUGGGAAACUACACGACACAACAAGAUUUCAGAUGGGUACCACGGGUCUACAUGUACAACAACACUAUGGGCUCUGUUGUGAUGCUAGUAAUGUGCAUGAUAUGAGAAGUCAACUGUAUACACAAUUGAAAUUGAAAUCAACAGAACUAUUGAUAAGAGCAAACCUGUUAAAGUAACAUGCGUGAACAUACUUGCUGUGACAUUCGAGUUUCGAUUGGAUCCUUCAAUUUAAAAAUAAGUUUGUAUGAGUAAAUAUAGUGAUACAAGUGCAAACCAGUAUGCACGAUAGCAAUCAUAGUUAAAAAAGGCGCACCUAAGCGAGCGCUUAAGCGCGCCUAGGCUCUAGGUGUUGGCAAAACGCAUUGCGCAUAACUACGCUUAAUCUGUGCAUAACUGUGUGCAUAAGCAUGCACUUUGGUCAGUAAAGCGCAAGGCAGUGGCAAAACACACAAUUAACGCCUAUCGCUUUUUUGAACUAUGAUAGUAAUGGAAUCUUAUAUUAGAAUAGUUGUUCUUCAGGUUUAGGCACUUGUUCUACAUGAACAGAGUACAGUAAGACGUAAGAAUAUAGUACUUAAAAUAGAAAAUGAGCUCAUAGACCUUACCACAUUCUUUGUUCGGGACCAGUACAGAACAAGGCGUUCCGAGUCAUCAUCCAGUAAAUGUGUCUCAGGAGAACGUAAGGGAAUUUGAUGAGUUUCUUUGCCGGUGAAGUACGUUUUCUUCAGGUAAUUCCAAUACGGCCACCAAGCAUUCUUGAAGAUAGCAAAGGUAUUAGCACAGGUUACCUCAUCCUGAGUUUCCAAAUCGGUCCUUCUCUAUAGCGAAAAAUGGGAAAAUUUGCUGUAUUAUAACCAUCAUGGAGGUAGGAUGUAUGGGACAAAGCAAAGUAAUUGUCAUGAAUAACAUUACUUACACAUAACUCCUGGACAAAUACCUGCAACUGGCAUUUUCCUUCAUCUUCAGUAUAAUACUAGCGGGUAGUGCACGGCGGCACGCCGCGCCACAUGGAUUAAUUAGCUAUUUUGUAUUUUUGUAUUAUUUGGUAAGUUGUCCCAAGACCCGAUUCAUGGCAAAGUAGUUCAUGCAAGGAGAAGGUACAUCCAGUUGGUAUAUGCAUAUGUGAUGUCUGGACGCAGAAUUGUGAAGCUCUUGUUCUCUUCUUAGACCAGACAUGUUGAUCCUUCAGCUGGGUUUCGCUGAUAGUUUUUGAGUUGUUAGAUGAAUUUUGUUCUAAAACUCUGUGCUAGUUUUCAUGAAUUUCGUUGUGAAACUUUAUGCGAUAUACACAAAAUCGUAUACAACUGCAGUUUGUUUUGAAACUUUACGCUAUAUACACAAAAUCAUAUGCAACUACAGAAGUUCCUGUCAAUUGAAAUGUAGAUGUGAUGGUAAAAGGCCACGGAAGAAUGUAGUAUAUUUUAAAUAUUUCUAACUUGAUUACAAAAUGGUAAAACAAAUAUCUUGGGAAGUGGUUAAGACUUCACAAACCUCGACUGCUACAAUAUGUCAAAUUUUCUCAAAGCUAACUUACAUGAGAAUAAAUGUAACCAUCAAUAUUCCAUACGAUUGUUCUCGUUCUUUUGUGCUCUAGAUUAUCUUACCUUUUUUCCGCAUGCUCUAUAUAUUGCAAAAUAAAAAAAAACUGACGCUAUUGCGCUGACGUUCGGCCAGACCCUCCCGCACGCGGCACAGUCCUGACCGCACAUCUUCUCAUGGUGUGUGCCUAGCUAGCUGCACUUGGACUGCACCGAGCGGUGGUGUGGCUAUGGACUGAGAUCCACUAUUCCCGAAUCUGUGUAGCUUCUCGAAUCUCCCUGCCUAUUCCCCACCUCCACCAUUCCCCGUUCUCCCUAGCUCAUUUGUUCCUUGCAUUGCCGGCUCAACGCCGCCCCUCGCCGUGGCUCCUGCGUCUCCUCUCAGCCCGGAGUAGGAAUUGAGUGGUCCUCACCUGCGCAGCACGCCUCGGCGAGGUACGUGGUUGUCUCGAGGUAGAGGGUGGCUUAGAGAGGGAGAAGCCGGCAGACAAUGUCAUGAGCUCAGAAGAAUAGGAGGAAGCGAGGCCGCGUGAGGCAGAGGAGAAGAAGCAAUCGAGUGCUCCUCGCUUGCAAGUGAGGCCGCCAAAGCCCGAGGAGAAGAGGAAGCGGCAAGGUAGGGCGUGGUGGUGGCGGGAUCUCCGACAUGCUCACCAUUGGGGAGUGGCGGCGGUCAGAGCUAGCUAGGCGCGGCAAGUCCCCAUGAGAGGUUCACGGUUCAGAUUUCAGACCAUUCACAAGCCGUGCAGGUACCUACUCACCCAAGUGCUACAUCUCCAUGUGUCUAAUCCCCAUUUUUCAGCUAACUGCAAUUCUCACACCAUGUUGGCCCGCGGUUCGACAUGGGACGUUUUGUGCUUCAUCAAGAGCUUCUGCACAGUGAGCCUGACAAAGACGGCCGUCAUGCUUUCCUCCCCUGUCAAGGUAAGCUACAUCAAUAGAAACACACAAAUUGUAUAAGCCUGCUUACAUUACAUAUCAUAUAAUAAACGCAAUCGAUCCUAGUGUUCACCGUUGAUAUGUGAUAGAACACC
rnacentral:lncRNA from 1 species